rnacentral:lncRNA from 1 species
AAUUUAAGUUUUUUGAGUGUGUGCUUAUGCUGCAUGUGAGUUGGCAUGCAGGCAGGAAUGCAGGCAGAUGUGCGUGGGUUUGUAAGCCUUUGAAAGAUGGCAAUUAAGAAAAUUUAACUAAGCUUCAAUUUAACCAUGGCUGAAAAGUGCAUCAGAUAGUAAUGCAACUCCCUGUAUAAAACUGUCAUCAUUCCUCUUCAUCUAAAUUCUUUCCGAGGA